UACGUAGGUGGCAAGCGUUGUCCGGAAUUACUGGGUGUAAAGCGCGUGUAGGCGGGAGGCCAAGUCUGCUGUGAAAUCGCCCGGCUCAACUGGGCGGGGUCGGUGGAAACUGGUCACCUGGAGGACGGUAGAGGCGAGUGGAAUUCCCGGUGUAGCGGUGAAAUGCGUAGAUAUCCGGAGGAAGACCGGUGGCGAAGGCGGCCUGCUGGGCAGUUACUGACACUGAGGCGCGACAGCGUGGGGAGCAAACAGG
rnacentral:rRNA from 1 species